rnacentral:rRNA from 1 species
AUGAACGCUGGCGGCGUGCCUAAUACCUGCAAGUCGAGCGAACAGACGAGGAGCUUGCUCCUCUGACGUUAGCGGCGGACGGGUGAGUAACACGUGGAUAACCUACCUAUAAGACUGGGAUAACUUCGGGAAACCGGAGCUAAUACCGGAUAAUAUAUUGAACCGCAUGGUUCAAUAGUGAAAGACGGUUUUGCUGUCACUUAUAGAUGGAUCCGCGCCGCAUUAGCUAGUUGGUAAGGUAACGGCUUACCAAGGCAACGAUGCGUAGCCGACCUGAGAGGGUGAUCGGCCAAACUGGAACUGAGACACGGUCCAGACUCCUACGGGAGGCAGCAGUAGGGAAUCUUCCGCAAUGGGCGAAAGCCUGACGGAGCAACGCCGCGUGAGUGAUGAAGGUCUUCGGAUCGUAAAACUCUGUUAUUAGGGAAGAACAAAUGUGUAAGUAACUAUGCACGUCUUGACGGUACCUAAUCAGAAAGCCACGGCUAACUACGUG